CAAAGGUGUUCACCGAACAGACAUUACUACAAGGCUUUGCUGCCAGAGAGAGAAAAAUGCAUGUAUUUCCAUGAAGGAGCAAUGUUAGCCUGAAGCACAACAUUUCAUUGUUUUAAUUUUUUAAAUUAGUGAUGCUUUUUCUGAAGGAAGAAGCUAAGGAGUUUUGCUAAAGACCUUUCAUUGAGGCACAGUGAUCUUCCAUUCUUUCCUUUUUAGCAAUUAAUUUACUUUGCCUCCAGAGACAUUUCACAAGGAGCUACCCCUAGACAAGGAUCAAAGAUGCUUCUUACUUUUGGGGCUAGGGGGAAGUUUGGAGCAAAAACCUUCUAUUGAACCUGUGGAAUGUGCAAACUGAGCAGACAAAACUAUCUCAGAAAACAUCAGGUGUCUGGGACUUCCCAUAAACUUGAGGCCUGCGAGUUUCACAAGAUUUUGACAGUGAAAAGGAAAACCAUCAUGUGUUUUGAUAGCAGAGAAGAUACAGAAAAUCAAGGUGA